GGGAUCUUAGCUCAGCUGGGAGAGCAUCUGCCUUACAAGCAGAGGGUCACAGGUUCGAGUCCUGUAGGUCCCA
rnacentral:tRNA from 1 species